AUGACGUUAUGGGGAGAGACUGCUACGAAGCAGUCGCCGAAGGAGCAAACGUACAGUGAAUCUCUCAGGCCCAAGGACCUAUAGCGGACG
rnacentral:ncRNA from 2 species